rnacentral:rRNA from 1 species
CACAUGCAAGUCGAACGGUAGCAGGAAGAAAGCUUGCUUUCUUUGCUGACGAGUGGCGGACGGGUGAGUAAUGCUUGGGAAUCUGGCUUAUGGAGGGGGAUAACUGUGGGAAACUGCAGCUAAUACCGCGUAAUCUCUGAGGAGUAAAGGGUGGGACCUCUUGGCCACCUGCCAUAAGAUGAGCCCAAGUGGGAUUAGGUAGUUGGUGGGGUAAAGGCCUACCAAGCCUGCGAUCUCUAGCUGGUCUGAGAGGAUGACCAGCCACACUGGAACUGAGACACGGUCCAGACUCCUACGGGAGGCAGCAGUGGGGAAUAUUGCGCAAUGGGGGGAACCCUGACGCAGCCAUGCCGCGUGAAUGAAGAAGGCCUUCGGGUUGUAAAGUUCUUUCGGUAAUGAGGAAGGGAUGUUGUUAAAUAGAUGGCAUCAUUGACGUUAAUUACAGAAGAAGCACCGGCUAACUCCGUGCCAGCAGCCGCGGUAAUACGGAGGGUGCGAGCGUUAAUCGGAAUAACUGGGCGUAAAGGGCACGCAGGCGGACUUUUAAGUGAGAUGUGAAAUCCCCGAGCUUAACUUGGGAAUUGCAUUUCAGACUGGGAGUCUAGAGUACUUUAGGGAGGGGUAGAAUUCCACGUGUAGCGGUGAAAUGCGUAGAGAUGUGGAGGAAUACCGAAGGCGAAGGCAGCCCCUUGGGAAUGUACUGACGCUCAUGUGCGAAAGCGUGGGGAGCAAACAGGAUUAGAUACCCU